AGGGACUUCACGGAGCAUAGAGGUACCUCCAUCACGGAGUCUAUGAUCACGGAGAAGUGUUGACUUGGUGAAUCUAGGAUCUCUGAUUUUGUUGCGACUGACAUGGCAAGUGUGUCAUGGUCUUCGGUGUUUACCACUUUCGUGUGAGAGAAAUACAACUACUCUGAAAAUACUUGAGCCUUUCGCUGAGAAUUAUACGACUUUUAUAGGAAACCUGUUAUGAUAUUACAUCUAGAGAAUUUUUAACUUUGUCAGGGCAGAAUAAUUUUGUUGGUUGGCAGCGUUGCUGGCGACUGUCAAGUGUCACACAACUUCGAGUUUGAAGAGUUUAGUUUUGCAUGGUGUUUGGUGAGUCGUGUGUGGGAGUGUUUGGCGUUUAACAUAAGAUUCUUACAUUGUAUAGUGCUGUACACAAGAGCCAGACUGUAGGGCUCCAACACGUAUUGAGCUGAAGCUCGAAGACUUACAAGAAUUUGAAGCUGCGCGACGGGAGAUGGAAGUUCGACGCCAGGAGCAAGGUGCCUCCUCGUCGUCUUCAGUGGAUGCUACCACACCACUUGGCUCCAGCCCACCUGGUGGACUUUGGGCACCGGCCGCACCUAAUGCCAAAAGGACAUACCGAACGACGAGGGUUGUCGGCUUCCUGCCACAGCCGCACUUUACAUAAUACUGACAAAUUGUGAUGUUUGGAUCUAGUUCCACUGUUGAGCCUUUUCACUUCAUCAUAAGUUUAACAUCAGAUAACUCUUUGGAAGAGCUCUGUAUCAUAUGUAAAUGUUUCCAUAUAUCCAGUACACCACAAUGUUACUAAUCUUUAAAUAAAAUUUCUAUAUUGUGAUUAUAGUAUUGUUCAGAAAAAUACAGCAGUUUUAGAGUUUUG